rnacentral:rRNA from 1 species
ACGUAGGUGGCAAGCGUUGUUCGGAAUAACUGGGCGUAAAGGAUGCGUAGGCGGUUGGAUAAGUUAUGUGUUAAAUAUAUAGGCUUAACCUGUAGAAAGCACAUAAAACUGUUUAACUAGAGUGCAGGAGAGGUAAGUGGAAUUCCUAGUGUAGCGGUGAAAUGCGUAGAGAUUAGGAAGAACACCAGUGGCGAAGGCGACUUACUGGACUGUAACUGACGCUGAGGCAUGAGAGCAUGGGGAGCAAACAGGAUUAGAUACCCUGGUAGUCCAUGCUGUAAACGAUGGGUACUAGGUGUGGG